GAUGAACGCUAGCUACAGGCUUAACACAUGCAAGUCGAGGGGAAACGAUAUUGGAAGCUUGCUUCCGAUAGGCGUCGACCGGCGCACGGGUGAGUAACGCGUAUCCAACCUGCCCGUCACUUGGGAAUAACCUUGCGAAAGUAAGACUAAUGCCCAAUGACAUUUAUAGAAGGCAUCGGAAAUGAAUUAAAGAUUUAUCGGUGAUGGAUGGGGAUGCGUCUGAUUAGCUUGUUGGCGGGGUAACGGCCCACCAAGGCUACGAUCAGUAGGGGUUCUGAGAGGAAGGUCCCCCACAUUGGAACUGAGACACGGUCCAAACUCCUACGGGAGGCAGCAGUGAGGAAUAUUGGUCAAUGGGCGAGAGCCUGAACCAGCCAAGUAGCGUGCAGGAUGACGGCCCUAUGGGUUGUAAACUUGCUUUUAUAAGGGAAUAAAGUGGGUCUCGUGAGACUUUUUGCAUGUACCUUAUGAAUAAGGACCGGCUAAUUCCGUG
rnacentral:rRNA from 1 species